rnacentral:rRNA from 1 species
GACGAACGCUGGCGGCGUGCCUAAUACAUGCAAGUUGAGCGCUGAAGGUUGGUACUUGUACCAACUGGAUGAGCAGCGAACGGGUGAGUAACGCGUGGGGAAUCUGCCUUGGAGCGGGGGACAACAUUUGGAAACGAAUGCUAAUACCGCAUAAAAACUUUAAACACAAGUUUUAAGUUUGAAAGAUGCAAUUGCAUCACUCAAAGAUGAUCCCGCGUUGUAUUAGCUAGUUGGUGAGGUAAAGGCUCACCAAUGCGAUGAUACAUAGCCGACCUGAGAGGGUGAUCGGCCCCAGUGGGACUGGGACACGGCCCAGACUCCUACGGGAGGCAGCAGUAGUGAAGCUCCGGCAAUGGACGAAAGUCUGACCGAGCAACGCGGAGUGAGUGAAGAAGGUUUUCGGAUCGUACAACUCUGUUGGUAGAGAAGAACGUUGGUGAGAGUGAAACGCUCAUUAAGUGACGGUAACUACCCAGAAAGGGACGGCUAACUACGUG